UGAGAUAUAGCAUAUAAAAUGUACUCCGCUUACGCCGGAGAGAUGACUUAAAUUAAGGUCUAUUUCAA
rnacentral:tRNA from 1 species